AUACGGAGGAUCCGAGCGUUAUCCGGAUUUAUUGGGUUUAAAGGGUGCGCAGGCGGCCAUUUAAGUCAGCGGUUAAAUCGUGGGGCUCAACCCCAUUCUGCCGUUGAUACUGGGUGGCUUGAUUGCGGUCGAGGUUGGCGGAAUUCGUUGUGUAGCGGUGAAAUGCAUAGAUAUGACGAAGAACACCGAUUGCGUAGGCAGCUGACCAGACCGCAAAUGACGCUCAUGCACGAAAGUGCGGGGAUCGAACAGGAUUAGAUACCCUGGUAGUCCGCACAGUAAACGAUGAAUACUCGCUGUUUGCGAUACACGGUAAGCGGCCAAGCGAAAGCGUUAAGUAUUCCACCUGGGGAGUACGCCGGCAACGGUGAAACUUAAAGGAAUUGACGGGG
rnacentral:rRNA from 1 species